UACGUAGGGUGCAAGCGUUAUCCGGAAUUAUUGGGCGUAAAGAGCUCGUAGGCGGUUUGUCGCGUCUGCUGUGAAAACUCGGGGCUUAACUCCGGGCCUGCAGUGGGUACGGGCAGACUAGAGUCCGGAAGAGGCGAGUGGAACUCCUGGUGUAGCGGUGGAAUGCGCAGAUAUCAGGAGGAACACCAACGGCGAAGGCAGCUCGCUGGGACGGUACUGACGCUAAGGCGCGAAAGCGUGGGGAGCGAACAGG
rnacentral:rRNA from 1 species